AUGAAACACAAGAUGGGAGCCAACAGUCGUCCUAAAGUGAGCGUCCUGCCGCCGUCCAGUGAAGAGAUUUCCACAAAGCAAACAGCAACACUGAUGUGUGUGGCCAACAAGGGCUUCCCCUCAGACUGGAGUCUGAACUGGAAGGUGGACGGGAUCAGCAGCAGGUCUCAGUACAGCAGUGUUGCUCUCCUGGAGAAGGACGGUCUGUACAGCUGGAGCAGCAGUCUGACUCUCUCUGAGCAGGAGUGGAGCUCAGUGAUCUCAGUCAGCUGUGAGCUCACACAGAAAGACCAGCGUGAUAAAGUCACUGGAGAAUUGAGGAGAGAUCAGUGUUCACAGUAG